CUGCCUUCCAAGGAUCGGAUCUCCCCAACCUUCACUUCACGGCAGUUCUUUCCCUUUGGCAAUGAGCUCUAUGAGUUUCUAUAUUUCACUGACAACGGUGUGAUUAUCCUGUCCAAUAAUCGACGAGUCAGAUUUACCAACUUCAAACAAGCAUUCCCGAGUACUUUCAGUUCCUCUUUCACCGGCAACGAAAAAAUGAUAGCUCCAUUCUGGGCAGACGUCCAAGCCGAAGCAUUUGACUCCACAAACAAUGUGUUUUGGCAGCUUUAUGACAACCCUUCGACGGAUAGUACCAUGUUGGGUACUUUGAGUAAUAUCGUGUCAGCACAAUAUGACAGCUUCUUGGCUAAUUGGGUCCUCGUCAUCACAUGGAGUAAUGUCCAGGCUGUCUCGCUGUCUCCUGAGACCAACACCUUCCAAGCUAUACUAUUGACAAACGGAGCACAUAGUUAUGUUGUCUUCAACUAUGAUCCAUGUGGAAUGAAUUGGGACCCAGCCUACUUAGCUAACCCAAACGUCAUCCAGGGUUUCAACCCUGGGCGGUUUGAACAAAAAGUCUAUGUGGACUUACCGCCGGGGACCUCCGUGUUCCGCCCUGGUAGCGUCGUAGGCAAUUCUGGAAUGAUGGGACGUUGGGUUUACCAGCUGGAUACACUACAAGACAACUUUAUCAAUCCGCGUCUCUUCUGCUAUAAUUGGUAUGAUCAACAGCGAAGUAACUUCUUCCUGGAUUUGUAUGCUGCAAGUGUUGCUAACACCUGUCCGUGCAGUCUGCAGAGUGCUCGUCGGGACAGGAGAUGGGUACCUAUUCCAUACGUCCUGCCCACACAGUUUUCGCUAGGAUUCGAUACUAUUUGCUACGUCCGGCGUUUGCAGUUUCCAUGGUUACCUGGCCCACAAUGUUGCUAUAACAUACCCAGAUGUGAUUUUCUCAGGGGUGUACUGAGUGCCGGAGUUGCUUCAGUCAUGGAGCCAUUUCAAUUAAGUCCUUUGUUCUUCUCAAACAGUCGAUUUAACAGUUGGUUUGAUCAAGGAUUCUUAGUGCGCUAUUACUGCUGUGAGCAGUCUUCAUUGUGUCGUCUGUACAGAAGAUGGAGACCAAUUCAGAGCUGUCGGAGAUAUCGCCCGCCUAGAUGGAGUUGGACCUUUGGCGACCCACACAUGAGAACACUGGACGGUUUGGAGUACACCUUCAAUGGUCUGGGUGAAUACACUAUUACUCUCAUUAAUGAUGACAGUGGACAGAGACAGUUUGAACUACAAGGCAGAACACAGCGAGUGUUGAACUCUGAAACCCAGCAACUCUCUGAAGCUACAUUCUUCACUGGAUUCGCUGCUGAAUACGUUGGUGAUGCAAGGAUUGAGAUCAAACUGAACAGCGAUGGUACCGAUUUGGAAACCAAAGUUAACGGUGCGAGUGUCACACCCACAGCUGAUGGAUUACUUAUUGGCAAUUUCACCGUACUAAGAGAGGAGAAUCCAAUCAAAAUCAUCGCAGUCUACCAGGCAGAUAUUCAGUUCUCUGUUGGAGUCAGUAACAGCUUUGCUGACAUCACCACACAACUGAGUGAAGACUACAUGAACAAAACCAAGGGAUUACUGGGUGUAUGGGAUGGGGACACAAGUAACGAUGCUCUGAGACGGGAUAACACCCAACAAACAGCAACUGGUACAGAUGGAGAACUGUCGGAACAAGACUUCUUUCAAUUUGGUCAAACAUGGGCCAUCUCAGAGAGUGAUUCCCUCUUCUACUACGUUUCACCGGGCGAGAGCUUUUCUAACAUGAACGAUCCCAGUUUCACACCAAAGUUCCUGGACGAUCUCAUGAGUGAAGCUGAUCCGGCAAAGCUCCAAGCUGCUCGAGAUGCCUGCGGAAGUAACAAAGUGUGUUUGUAUGAUGCCUUGGCAACGGGUAGUACGGAUGUCGGUGUGGCAUCUAUGCAACUCAGUGAGCAGAAUUCUAUUGACAAUAUGGCAGCAACCAAUUUCCCGCCCAAUGUCACACUGGUCGAGACAGUUGAGGUAGUUGUUGGACAACCCUUCACACUGCAGAUAGAAGCCGUUGAUCCUGAUGGAGAUGACAUAUCAUAUGAGUUACUGGAGGUGAUUCCAGGGGGGACUGUUACAUCGCCAGGAGGCCAAUUCACAUGGACACCAGCCGAUAGGUCAAAGGUCACCCUUGGCUUCCUAGUGACUGAUGGGAAAGCGAAUGCAACAUUGGAGCCGAUUGUCAAGCUCUGUGACUGUAAGAAUGCUGGUACAUGUCUGUACGAUGAGUAUGUGGAGGGUACUAACGUCAUCACAGAUGGCCGUUUUGGGGUAGUGUUAUGUAACUGCACACCUGGCUGGUCAGGUGACUUCUGUGAGAUGAACUACGACGCCUGUCAAGACAACCCCUGCUUCCUUGGAGUGGCGUGUUUUGAUGAUGACCCACCGUCUUUAAAUUUCACCUGUGGAUCUUGUCCUGAAGGAACGGAGGGAGACGGCAAGUCCUGCAUUGAUAUUGAUGAGUGUGUCGUGUACAGAGAUGAGCCAGCCAGUAAUGGCGGACGUGGAUGUGAUCAAAAUUGUGUCAAUACCCUCCAUAGCUUUAACUGCAGCUGCAACUCUGGCUACUCCUUGUUUGUUGACGGCAAACGCUGCAUCGAAAUCAAUGAAUGUGACCAACAGACUGACGACUGUGCAGUCGAAGCGACCUGUAACAACACCCAAGGUGGUUAUGAAUGCAGCUGUAAUGCAGGCUUCAGCGGAGAUGGCACAUCUUGUCAAGAUAUCAAUGAAUGCAGUGGAACAAAUGACUGCGACAGUGGUGCUGACUGUUCAAACACGAUUGGUUCAUAUAGAUGUCAGUGUCGUCAAGGCUAUGAAGGCAGUGGCUUCACAUGUACAGAUGUGAAUGAGUGUAGCAGGGACACUGAUGAAUGCAACAUCCAAGCAAUGUGUGAUAACACCCAGGGUUCCUAUACCUGCACCUGUAAUGAGGGAUUGUCUGGUGACGGCCGUAACUGUACCAAUGUAAAUGAAUGUGAGGGGUCGACACCAGUCUGUCAUGUGAACGCUACUUGCACCGAUAUCCCCGGCAGCUUCACUUGCCAAUGCAGUGCUGGCUUUAAUGGGAAUGGUACCGAUUGCCAAGACAUUGACGAGUGUGAUUUGGAGAUUGACAACUGCCUUCAAAACUGCAGAAACACUAUAGGCUCCUAUGAGUGUGUGUGCCAUGAAGCAUUUACGCUGCGUGAUGGCAGUUGUGUUGCUACUACAAACUGUUCUGAGAAUUCUAUAUGUGUGAAUGGAGACUGUUACGUGAAUGGUGCAGAUAUAGAGACGUGCCUUUGUUACCGUGGUUACCAAAACUCGUCUGAUCCAAUGGUGUGUGAAGAUAUUAACGAGUGUAAUGCUACUGAGAGUUACUGUGGCCCCUCCUCAACCUGUAACAACACAGCCGGUGGUUUUGAGUGUUUGUGUUCAGCUGGCUUUAGGCAAGGCAAUAACCAGCGGGAUUGUCUAGAUAUUGAUGAGUGUACCCUUCCUGUGGAUGAUCCUUUGUACCCUGUUUGUAUUCCUACUGCAAACUGCUACAAUGACCAUGGCUCAUAUGACUGUCGUUGCAAAUCAGGAUACGGAGGCAAUGGGACACACUGUCAAAAUGUUGACGAGUGUCAGAAUGGCCACUCGUGUGUAGCCGACAGUACUUGUCUGGACAAUGAUGGCAGUUACACCUGUCAGUGUAAUACUGGUUUCCGUGGCGAUGGACUCGUCUCGUGUAUGAACAUCGAUGAAUGUUUGGAGGACCCAGAUAUCUGUCACGCCUUAGCAACGUGUAGCGACACUGAGGGAAGUUACCGAUGUAAUUGUGACUCUGGUUACCAAGGCAACGGAACAUACUGUGAAGAUGAUGACGAAUGCAUGGCUAAUAGCCAUGACUGUGCUUCAGGCAGAGCUGAUUGUGUCAACAACGUUGGUAGUCAUACUUGUACCUGCAUGAAUGGAUACUUGUCUGCUCCAGGAAUGCUACCAGGACGUCAAUGUGACGAUAUCGAUGAGUGUGCACUGAAUCUGGAUUCAUGUGAUGUAUUAGUGAGUCGAUGUAACAACAAUGAAGGCAGUUACGUAUGCGACUGUCUGUCUGGACUUGUAAUGCUGGAUCAGUGUAUUGAUAUAAAUGAAUGUCACUAUCCUAAUACUUGUGGGGCAAUGGCCAAUUCGGAGUGUGUCAAUCUACACCGGAGCUAUGAGUGUCAAUGCAGAAUGGGAUUCUAUCGGCAAAACUCAGAAUGUCUUAGUGGUGUCUCAUACAAUGCAUCGGCUGUGUUUGAUAUCAUCAGUGGGGAAUUGGUUGGUGGGAACGGCUUUAAUCUUGUCGCCAACUACUUGACAUACAGGGCAGAGUUAAAAGACGCGAUUGAAGCAGCUUUCAGGUCUUCUGUUUUGUCUGGUUACUUUGGCGAUGUGGUCAUCUCGGAGAUAUCACUCCUCACUGACUCCAUGGCCUUGUUGAGAUUGGUUAUCAAUCUCAACAUGUCUCAGCCAGAGCAGUUCAUCAUCGAUGCCUUCCUGAGUCAGUUGACAGGGGGCAGUGGAGGUCAGUUGGCUCCAAACCAUAGGCUGGUCAGCUCAACAUUCAUCAUCGGGGAUCCAAAGUGUAACAGCUCACCGUGCACCAACAGUGGGACAUGUGCUGAUGACAACUCGGUAUUACCCGAGGGAUAUACGUGCACCUGUCUGCCAGGCUAUAGUGGACACAACUGUGAAAUUGCGCCGUGUGACAACAACCCCUGUAUGAAUGACGGAACAUGUCGUGUGAAUUCAACUACAGUGACGGGCUAUAUGUGUGAAUGUGCUCUGGGUUACUCUGGACCUCAGUGUCAAACAAUAGUUCCCUGUGAGCUUAGCAAUGACUGCAUGAAUGCAGCAACAUGUGUCAAUGAGUUUGUAAACGCAAGAGGAUAUACAUGCAUGUGUGCUGACGGAUUCAUGGGCGAAAACUGUGAAAAUGAGUGUUCGUUAACUUGUAUGAAUGGAGGAACUAGAGAUCCAGCUACUUGCCUGUGUGUGUGCAGCUCACCAUGGACUGGAGAUACUUGUACAGAGUGUUCUUUAACUUGUAUGAACGGUGCAGCCAGAGAUUCAGAUUCUUGUCGGUGCAUGUGCAUCCCACCAUGGACUGGAGAUACUUGCACAGAGUGUUCGUUAACUUGUAUGAAUGGAGGAACUAGAGAUCCAGCUACUUGCCUGUGUGUGUGCAGCUCACCAUGGACUGGAGAUACUUGUACAGAGUGUUCUUUAACUUGUAUGAACGGUGCAGCCAGAGAUUCAGAUUCUUGUCGGUGCAUGUGCAUCCCACCAUGGACUGGAGAUACUUGCACAGAGUGUUCGUUAACUUGUAUGAAUGGAGGAACUACAGAUCCAGCUACUUGUCAGUGUGUGUGCAGCCCACCAUGGACUGGAGAUACUUGUACAGAGUGCUUGAUAACUUGUGGGAAUGGUGCAACCAGAGAUCCAGAUUCGUGUCAGUGCAUGUGCAGCUCAUCAUUCACUGGAGACAAUUGCACAGAGUGUUCUUUAACUUGUAUGAACGGUGCAGCCAGAGAUUCAGAUUCUUGUCGGUGCAUGUGCAUCCCACCAUGGACUGGAGAAACUUGCACAGAGUGUUCGUUAACUUGUAUGAAUGGAGGAACUAGAGAUCCAGCUACUUGUCAGUGUGUGUGCAGCCCACCAUGGACUGGAGAUACUUGUACAGAGUGCUUGAUAACUUGUGGGAAUGGUGCAACCAGAGAUCCAGAUUCGUGUCAGUGCAUGUGCAGCUCAUCAUUCACUGGAGACAAUUGCACAGAAUGUCCACUGACAACAGCUAGCUGUAUGAACGGAGGCACUUUAGACGAAGAGUAUUGUGAGUGUGUUUGUCCUCUGACUCACAGCGGGGAUCUCUGUCAAGAUUCGAAUGUGUGUUUGACCGGUGACCAGUGCUCGGAUGCUACAACAGGGCGUUACUGUGUCCCAUCAAAUAAUGCGUUCACAUGCCAGUGUCGUACAUACGAUGCAUUUUUCAUGGAAGGAGCCGCAUGCGAAAACCGACGUAGUUUUUCUCUUACUGUCGUGAUCACAUUGUUGACUGAGACAUACCGGUCAGUGUACAUCAAUCCGUGGUCUUCUGCAUUCAGAGCCAAAGCAGCCCUUUAUAAACGACUGGUUGAGUUGCGGUUGAGAAACGACACAGCAACCAGUGAUUUGAUAUCAGCAGACUGUGUUUCCAUCCAAAGCGGAAGUGUCGUGGCUACCAUGGUAUUACUGUUCCCAGCUGCGCCACCAAGAACUGAUGUACAAAGAGUCUUGUCAGAAAACAGACCGUUAACCGAUGUUGACGUAGCAAUAACCACUGACCCACCAGCACUUCGAGUUAAUGCAGUAACAGAUUGUCCGCCAGACUAUUGUCAGAAUGGUGCAAUGUGCGUGAAGUCAGGGUACUACGUGUCUACGUUCACCUAUACCUGCAGUUGUGGGACUUCAUUCGCCGGUGAACGCUGCGAAACAGUCAUUCCAGUCCCCACUGAAGUUCCAACAGCGACAACAACAGAGUCACCAGGGUUUGUCAAGCAGGCAUGAUUUCAUCAGACCGUACAUCGUGACCGGAACGGAGGAAUUUUACCAGGAUAACCAACAUUUUGAUGAUCCGAGGGAUGAUGAUGGGAUGGUGGGUCGUGUUGCUUACAAUCCAAUGAUCUACCACUAGACUGAGGUCAAGCUAACCAUAGCAUCAGCUGAUGUGAGAAUGUAUAUAUCUUCAUCUAAAUAGCUGAGUUUAUAUUCAUUAGUCCAAUAACACAUCAAAAUGAUAGGAAAUGGUGCAUUGUUAUUCCACAAUUAUCAUGUAUAUAACACAAAGUGAAUGAAAGAAGCAGAACUUUGGACCAUGAAACUAUUAUAUACUGACGAUAUUAGGAAUAAGAUAAGGACAUAUAUACUGACUAUAUUAUUCAUCACAUAAAGAUGGAAAGUUUGUUUAAGAAAUGUAUUCACUUUUCCUAAUUCUACAAUUAUUUACAUAUUAACACUUUUUAUAUAAUUGCAUUGACAACAAGGUCCAGAUUACUUGCUUAAUGCUUUUAAUGGAUGGUGUAUUAUCCUCAUAUAUUGCCAUUUUAAAUGCAGAGUAUCUUAAAUGCUUCGUAUUAAUUGCUUCUGAUUAAAAUGUGGGCUUGUUUAUCUGUAGUUUUCAAAUUACAUUUUGAAAGUCAUAGAUGUUUCUGAUGGAAAUUUCUCUUCAGCAUAUCAACUCUGAAUAUGACUUAACUGUUCAGUAAUAUGUAAUAUGUUGAUAAUUUCCCCUUCAAAAGUGCUUAUUUUAUGAGCACUUCUUUUAAGCCUCAGUUAAUGACAACCUAAGUUCUUUGUAUACUAUAUACCUUUAAUUAUUAUACAAUGUUAUCAUGUAGUAGCUGUUUAUAUUUUGGGAAUGUGUAUGAAGGUCCGCAAGAUGUUUUUCCUGCAAUUUUCAAAACUUUUCAACCAAAUUACAAAGGAAAAAAUUGCAAUGGGUUAGCCUUACAUUUUAAAUUGAAUUUGGCCAAAUAUUUUCUUUCCUGCAAACGCCUCAGAAAUAUCAGUUGAUGCAAGUCGAACAAUUUUUAGUAUUCAUAUUUUUUUACUUGUUUUGCUCCAAAUUGUUAUUCAUUAUUUCUUUGGAAUGGCACAUCUGCCCAGGAAAUGUGUGGAAAUGUGUCUAAGUGACCCUAAGGCAUCUUUCCUGCAAGUUUUGAGCAACUUUAUUUUUUGACCAAAAUUGAAAAGAAUUGCAAGGGGGUCGCCUUACAUUUUUGAUUAAAUUUGGCCAGAAAUCAACAUUUCUGCAAACAAGUUAGAAAUGCUUAUUGAUACAAGAGAUGUUUUUAAAUUUUAUCUGGUUUUAUAAGAGCUUUCCAGUAUAAAUAAUUGAUUGAAGGAAAACGA
rnacentral:misc_RNA from 1 species